AAAAAUUAUUAUUGUCCAAGUGUAAAAAAAAAGAAUACACAAAAGCAAAAUGGAAUUUUUUUAUAACAUGUCGUUAUAACCAAUUUAUUUGUAAAGUAACUUUUGUAGAAACAGUGGAUAGUCAUUUUAAAAACAUAGUAGGAACGAAAACAAAUGAGAAAGGAAACAAAAUGCUGGUAACCAAAGUGAUAUUAAGCCUAGAAAAGUUUUAAAUGUGCAUAACGUUCAAAGACUCUCAACGUGAACAUUAUUAUACAGAAUGAAAAUUGAUUUUGUGAAGAUUGAGACCUAAGGUUAGAGCAAAUAAUUCGAAUAACCAGGGGGGCGUUUACUGCCCCCUGUGUUACUCUUCUAUCGGUCGGGCGUCAAUGGUGUAAUUUGAUGGAAGGACCACCGCUAAUAAGGGGUCCUUCCAGCCUUGCCCAAGAAAAGCGUCUGGGCGUGGAGACAAAAAAGGUUAGAGCAAAUAAUUCGAAUAACCAGGGGGGCGUUUACUGCCCCCUGUGUUACUCUGUUUGAUGGAAGGAUCACUGCUAAUAAGGGGUCCUUCCUGCCUUGCCCGAGAAGAUCACCUGGCCGUGGGACAAAAAUGGUUAGUUAAGAAAAUUAACUUCGCUUUAAGGGCGCAAAUUAAUGUGUUCUAUAAAUAUAUUUUUGCAAAGUAA